GGCGCUGUAGUGUAGAGGUUAUCACUCGAGAUUCUGAUGGAUGCAUCGGUUCGCAUUCCUGGAUAUUCUCGAAACCCAGGUUCGAGUCCUGGCAGUGCCU